rnacentral:lncRNA from 1 species
AAAGAAUCUGAACUGCUUUGUCUAGAAAAAGGAAAGAGUAUAUACUAGAAGGUGGGAUCUCUGUUAAAGAUUCUAAGGCAGUAAAGAAUGCUUUGUGAGUGUCUGACACCACGAGUCAAUACACUUACAUAAAUGUGUGAAGACAAAUGCUUGCUUUGGGGUGGCUGGCUCAAUCAAUGCACAACUGGGCAUACUAUUGUGAAGAGCAAGGAUAUAGUCUGUGGGUCACUGUAUAUAAAAAAAUGAGGCAAACAUGUUGAGGCUUUUUGCUUGCUUGAAUUACAGAUCAAGUGAGCAGAAAAAUAGCUCAUCCUCCCCAAUUAUCUUGCUGUCUUUGGGUUUCUAUAUCCACGUGCUUGGAAGCUUCUUAUUGCAUCAUAGUAUGAGUUGGAUUCCACACUAGUUCCAAAGUACUGUGUGCUGAACUGGCUUGGAAAGAAGUUGGUAUGUGUCAUGUAGUAAGGAGGGGAGUAAUCUAUCAAAGUAUAAUCAAGAAAAGUGAAGAUUGCCUAUUGUUUAAUUCUGCAAAAUAAGUAUCUUUAAUGUUUUCUGUUUACUUUUUCUGUCAAUUACUGAUGUGAGUGUUACACUCUCCAACUAUAGUCAUGAUCUGUUUUCAGUUUUCUCGGUUUUUGCUUCAUCUAGUUUGAAGCUUUUAUUAGCUAAUUUUAGCUAAGCAUGCAGCUGCCUAACUAGGGACAACCUGUUCUAACCCUCCUUGUAGUUAAAUGGAGCCACGUAACAUUUUGGCAAUGCAAUCUGGAGACCCAAAGGAGAUACAGGCCCAGCUUUAACCAUACAGGCAACAAAAGUGCCCUAGGAAACAACAGAGCAAGAAAUUGGAAAGAACCUGGGUGAUUGUAAAUGGCACACCCUGGACUCUUAGAUGGCGCUGUGAGAACAACCCAGGAUUGGAGCUCGCGUUGAAUCCGCAAACGGACUUGUCUAUUGAGAAACAGCAACGCUGGCAACCAUUUACUACCAACAAGAGGCAGUUCCAAGAGAAGAAUAUAAAAUAUGCUCUGCUCAACCCCACGAAACUCAGAGUGUCUCACAAUGGCCAAUUUAUUAUUUUUACCCUGUCCAGUGACAUGGAAGGAUGCAUCAGGGAGCUGCUAGCCUCUGCGAUGAAUAACUUAAGUCAGGCUGCAACAUGUGAAAUAAUUCAGCUGACCAGGAUUUAUAACACUAGCUGGAUUUUUUGCUUUCUUUGGGGUUCAUGAAGCAUGGUGUUGUGAGAUACCACAGGAGUCCUGGAGUGAAGUUACAUGCCUAUUUCUCUUCCUUUAUUUUUUGGUAUUUUCAUAUUAUUUUAUUGCCUACUCCAAAUGUCUUCCUAAGCAGGGUCCAGCCUCCUAGGGGACACGUCUCUUCUGAUUUUGAAAAUUAGA